rnacentral:rRNA from 1 species
AUGCUCACAUUUCUUUUCUGUACUUGCUACACAAGUGUUGUACACUGGGAGGCCUACCAGCGCAUGGGUCAAUCUCCACCAGAUUUUGAUAAGGACCGUGCAGAUUUCCAAUUGACAUCACUGGAUUCCCGUUCUGGGGUGGGACUGGAAGAAGCUAAUUUGCCCAAGCAGGAUGCCCCUAGAGAGAAUGAACUCAGCCCUCUUGCUUUGCUUUGGUCUGAGCUGGAAGGGAUGCAUCCAAAGCAGCCUCUCUCAUCAAAUGUGCUUGGUGUAAAUGAGCGGAGACAGCUCCCAAGGACAUUCCACCUGCAAAUAUCAGGCAUGGGCCACUUAGCCGGUUGA